rnacentral:lncRNA from 1 species
CUAUUUUGCUUUUGUGACAGGCCUCUUGAAUAAGGGGUUUGUUUGGAUCCUUUAGUCCUAUGAUUAAAGUUUAGUCCAGGGACACAUGUGCCUCUAUUAAUGUUUUUUUAUCAUUUCGCUGAUUUUAUUUUGCUGAUUUUAUGGCAGGUUGGGAAUAAUUAAUUUUCAAAGCACCCUUAAAAUGCCUUACAUUUAUGUACAAAUUUGAACGCGUCUAAUGUCUUACGAAGGGAGUAAACUUUAGUCCAUGUCCUAUUUGGAAGCUGGGACUAAAGGUCAUUAUUAUAGCUGCACAAAGACUAUAUUGCCCUUGCCAAACGAACGAAGGCGACCUUGCUUUGCUUCCCUGCCGUGCUGUCGCCCGGUCUUCCUCAGCUAGAUCCAGCCUGGGCGCCGCCGCGUCCUCCUCCUCCUCGGCGUUCCCUGGCCGCGACGCAGGGGGGCGAGCGAGUCGACGCUGCGCUCAUGCU